UGCUCAUGAUCUGAUUCCCUUUAAACUAGAACAGCAACUUAUUUCCAGUUCAAAGCAAUAUAGGUUGUUGUUUGCAUGCUUAUGCUAGCUGCUUAUUUGAUGUGAGUUGUUGCAAAAAAUGGUGAACCAUGUCAUCCUAGUUUAUGAAAUAUUCUUUAUCUUUGAGGCAUGCAUGUUUAUUUAUAGCUGUUUUAACCUUGUAAUUGUUUUGCAUGUCUCAUGCCAACGUAACACAGCAGUAUAAAUCUUUUUCCAUAUUUUGUGCUCUUUGCUUAGAAAGGAUGGAAUUAUUCUUUUCUAGGGGAACAUGGAAUUUUUGUGUAGUGAAUCUGCUGCUGUUAUUCUUUUGAGCUGCAAAAGUAGAAAGCAAAUGGUUCAAAAUUCCAUCUGUUGGUUAGGUAACCAAACUAGCAAAUUACCACUGAUAAAACUAGCAAC
rnacentral:lncRNA from 1 species